AUUUUCUAUACGCGUUCCAGACUCUAUCCUGUCAGCUGGGCGGGUCUUGGAGUGCCAGUCAGCCAUCUUGUUUGUUUACCGACUGCGGGUUGCCCUCUCAACCUACUAACGGCCAGACCAUUCUACUUAACAAGACGACUACUUACGGCUCUCAAGUUACUUACGAGUGUGGCCCAAACUUCUGGUUAAGUGGCAGUGAGGUCAGGUCAUGUGGCAGUGACGGGAAGUGGACCGGAAGUGACCCCGAGUGUGUGUUGAUCACUUGCGGGGAGCCUGAAGUGCCUGCUGGAGGAUUCGUCACUGGCUACAGUUUCCAAGUCGGCUCUGAGG